rnacentral:rRNA from 1 species
GAUGAACGCUAGCGGCAGGCUUAAUACAUGCAAGUCGAACGGCAGCACGGGUGCUUGCACCUGGUGGCGAGUGGCGAACGGGUGAGUAAUGCACCGGAACGUAUCCAAUAAUGGGGGAUAACGCACCGAAAGGUGUGCUAAUACCGCAUACGCCCUGAGGGGGAAAGCGGGGGAUCGUAAGACCUCGCGUUAAUGGAGCGGCCGAUGCCGGAUUAGCUAGUUGGUGAGGUAAAGGCUCACCAAGGCGACGAUCCGUAGCUGGUCUGAGAGGACGACCAGCCACACUGGAACUGAGACACGGUCCAGACUCCUACGGGAGGCAGCAGUGGGGAAUUUUGGACAAUGGGCGCAAGCCUGAUCCAGCCAUUCCGCGUGAGUGAAGAAGGCCUUCGGGUUGUAAAG